GACACACAACCAGAAGCAAAGACAGCAGCUGACCUGUAGCUGAUGACGGAGUUUCGCUCUUGUUGCCCAAGCUGGACUGCAGUGGCGCGAGCCUGGCUCACUGCAAACUCUGCCUUCCGGUUUCAAGCGAUUCUCCUGCCUCAGCCUCCGGAGUAGCUGGGACUACAGGCACACACCACGCCCAGAGAAAAACAGAUCUUCAACAGUUUUUUGAUGGAAAUAAACAAUUUCAAGUUGAGACAACACAUCAGCUUCAUGCAUUCCUUCAGCUUGAAGUCAACUGGGCCUGGGUUGAAUCUGGUUCUGUUUUGUUGUUGUUUCAUUUUGUUUUUUAGCAUUUGACUAUGUACAGUCUCUAUUUCUAAGUCUUGAUUUCCUCAUUUAUAAAACAAAGCAACUAAAUGAUAUCAAAUACCCUUGUUUUGAAAAUCAAAGAAUAAGCACGGCACCCAAGACAACUUUUUGUAUCACAGGCACACAUGAAUGCUUUUUUCCUUUUCCUUUUCUUAUCAUAAAAACCUAUAUUUUAUGACUUUUACAUUUAUUCCUAGAUGCUCUCAUAUGCAUUAUCUCAUUUUUACAAUAACAUUAUAAAUAUAAACACUGUUAUGCUAUUUUACAGAUGAGAGACUUGAAGCACAGAAGGCUAAAACUACCUUUAACUUCUAAAGAAAUUUUGUGAGAAGCAUCUGAGACUCUUGACAGUUAAAAUCCCUAUCAUUUCAGAAAGUGCAACUGGGGAUCACAUGUAUUUUAAAUAAUUCUAGUUGAGAAUAGUCAAAAGUCGCAUUUAUGAAGGAAGAUUGACAUUUUUAAGCUUCCCAAUGAUUUCAUCAAGCUUAUUUAGUACUCCUAGCCUCAGUUUCUUCACUUGCAAAAUAAGAAUACCAAAAACAGGAGCUUCGUGGAUUAAUUUU
rnacentral:lncRNA from 10 species